UUCUCGCUGAUGAUCUGGGUCUCAAGGUAGGCGCGGAGGUCAUCGAAGCUGAGGAGCGAGAAAUUCUCCGGCCACUCUCCGGAGAUGAUUCCCUCGGGAUUCUCGCCAAGGGCCGGACGGAGGUCGUCGGAUAAGGAAGCGGAGGCCGAGAGCAUCUGUUUGCUCCGGUUGAAUCCGACGCCCCCGUUCCUAGAGAACGCGGAGGAGGGGGAGGAGAGAAGUGGCAUCCUUGGCGUUAAAGCGGUGGUGGAGGAGAAGAAAGAACCGGAGAGGGGUUUGAGGGGAAAGUAGAGGAAGUGGAUUCGGUGGAGAGAGAUGCUGCAAGCCAUGACGGAUUGCUAUUG
rnacentral:lncRNA from 1 species